GAUGAACGCUGGCGGCGUGCCUAAUACAUGCAAGUCGAGCGAACGGACGAGAAGCUUGCUUCUCUGAUGUUAGCGGCGGACGGGUGAGUAACACGUGGAUAACCUACCUAUAAGACUGUGAUAACUUCGGGAAACCGGAGCUAAUACCGGAUAAUAUUUUGAACCGCAUGGUUCAAAAGUGAAAGACGGUCUUGCUGUCACUUAUAGAUGGAUCCGCGCUGCAUUAGCUAGUUGGUAAGGUAACGGCUUACCAAGGCAACGAUGCAUAGCCGACCUGAGAGGGUGAUCGGCCACACUGGAACUGAGACACGGUCCAGACUCCUACGGGAGGCAGCAGUAGGGAAUCUUCCGCAAUGGGCGAAAGCCUGACGGAGCAACGCCGCGUGAGUGAUGAAGGUCUUCGGAUCGUAAAACUCUGUUAUUAGGGAAGAACAAAUGUGUAAGUAACUAUGCACGUCUUGACGGUACCUAAUCAGAAAGCCACGGCUAACUACGUG
rnacentral:rRNA from 1 species